CAGCUCAUUGAGGAAGUAAACACUUGAAGGUCGAAUGUCAGGCCGAGAUACCUGACUGGAACCAACCCAGGCCUGGCCCUCUCAUAAGAAGGAUCCUCGACACCCUCCUUCAAGCGAAGACAAAACAAAAGCUUGGUUUACAACUCUAUACUGGAAGGAAGGACCCAAUUGAACACCUUAACCUCUUUGAGUCCACCAUGGCAUAUCAGAUGCACACCGACAAAGAGCGAUGUCUUAUCUUCCCCUCAACCCUCUCUAGCAGAGCUCUAAACUGGUAUUGUCGUCUUCCACUUGAGACAGUAAACUCAUUUGAG
rnacentral:lncRNA from 1 species